UAUGCGUGGCCGCUGCGAGUCGCUUUUGUUAUAAUUUAAGUUUCAGUUUUAAGCGAGACCUCUGCUAAUAAAGAGCUAGCUACUCCGGCAACAGCCGUUAAAUAUCUUUUAUCAUUUUGAAAACUGACUGUGUAUCUAGGCCAGCAGUUAAGAAGGGUUCCCCUAACAACAUAACCUUCCUAUUCCAACAGGAAAUACAGCCAGGCGGCUAGACGCUCUUAGCGAUCUCCAACUAGAGCGAGGAACGACCGCCCGCUACCUGUGGACUACGCUCAUCGGCCAACCGGCCAAAGUAGAGUGACUGCAGCGGGGGACCGUCUCCUAACACACAUAAUAAACUAAUUGACGCUCAACCAGUGGUUCGACCACCAUCACCACCUAACAGUCAUCAGUAGCUAAAUCAAUUCGAAUACGGUGAAAAACAUAAAAAUGCAUUUACCGAUGAAAGGAAGGCUUGCACCAGCGGCCAUACCGGGCAACAAGCUGAAACACUCGUUAGACAUGCUUUUGGACCGUGCAUAAAGCUGUAUUAAAGCAGAAGGAGACUACUUUGAAUAAAAUUAAUUGCUUUUGCCGAUAAAACCA